GGAGCCUGUUUCCUCGAUGCAUCUUCUGUACGGAGCUGAGCUAGACUGUAUUCAGAUGAGGUACUGAAUGCAAAGCUAGUCAAAUUGGAUCAAAGAUGCACCCCAUAGACAACCCAUCAAUAUUCUCAUCACAUCACCCCGUCUACCAAAUUUCAGACUGCCAGCCAAAAGCUCCCCUGUGAACAACCAUCAAGCAAAGGUUCAGUCUUUCCUGUGGGUGGUCUUCUGAAGUCCUUCACCUGACGUUGGGAGCUGUGAGAAAGAUGUAGUCCUCGGUGACUGCAGAGAAGACUGCCACAGCGAUCACUAAUGACUUUUGUAUGCAUACCUGUGAGAUAGUGUAGGCUCUAUGUGGGAAUGUUACAGAGAAAUAUUUCCCCAAUAACCCCUGAGUUCAGAGUCAGACAGAACCUCAGGAAGGUGCCAACAUGGAGCAAACUGGUUCAGAUCUGUGUGUGACACACCACACACCAACAUCGCUGUGGAGUUGGAUCCAUGCACACUGUUUACUGAUCUGGCAUGCCUUGACGCUAGAGUGGCUCCCAUCUGUCUUUGAAAUGCUAAUUUCCCUCGACACUGAUGCUAUUGACCUGUAUAGGGUUAGUCACUACUCAGUAGUUUCAAUAUAACAGGAAAUGACUGUCAUCUUGAAUAGCAUAUAGUAAUAAUCUGUGGUCAUUUCAGUUGUAUUCAAAGGUUGGCAGUACAUGUAAAAGGCUAUAUGUAUGUCAAUUGAAAUGAGUCCUUUCAGAAGAGCAGGUGCUCUCCUAUCCUCCUUAGCAACAUUUGUUCUAUAAAUGCUACAUUAAUCCCUACAACACCAUAUUUAGUGAACAAGCUCAACCCAGUAUCACAAAUAAAAGUGACAUUUUUUUGUGUGCAGUACACAA